UGAACGCUAGCGACAGGCCUAACACAUGCAAGUCAGGGGCAGCACAAGGAGCAAUCUGAGGUGGCGACCGGCGCACGGGUGAGUAACACGUAUGCAACCUGCCUGUAAGCGGGGAAUAACCCGUUGAAAGACGGACUAAUACCGCAUAAUACUAAAUUACUGCAUGGUAAUUUAUUUAAACAUUUAUGGCUUACAGAUGGGCAUGCGCAUGAUUAGCUAGUUGGAGAGGUAACGGCUCCCCAAGGCAACGAUCAUUAGGGGUUCUGAGAGGAAGGUCCCCCACACUGGUACUGAGACACGGACCAGACUCCUACGAGAGGCAGCAGUGAGGAAUAUUGGUCAAUGGACGAGAGUCUGAACCAGCCAAGUCGCGUGCAGGAAGAAUGUCCUAUGGAUUGUAAACUGCUUUUGCAGGGGAAUAAAGUGCAUCACGUGUGAUGUUUUGUAUGUACUCUGCGAAUAAGGAUCGGCUAACUCCGUGCCAGCAGCAGC
rnacentral:rRNA from 1 species